rnacentral:misc_RNA from 1 species
GUGAUUAAAUCAAGCGUGUCUUCAUUGACCGCUCACCCUUCUCACCAUCCACAUACACCUGUGCACUGUUUAGCCUGAGCCGGUUUUCCGGUCCAGGUUAUCAUUUCAUACAAACUCUAGUCUUAUGAAUGUAAACGUUUUAAUAACAUAAUA